rnacentral:rRNA from 1 species
GAUGAACGCUGGCGGCGUGCCUAAUACAUGCAAGUCGAGCGAACAGACGAGGAGCUUGCUCCUCUGACGUUAGCGGCGGACGGGUGAGUAACACGUGGGUAACCUACCUAUAAGACUGGGAUAACUUCGGGAAACCGGAGCUAAUACCGGAUAAUAUAUUUAACCGCAUGGUUCAAUAGUGAAAGACGGUUUUGCUGUCACUUAUAGAUGUAUCCGCGCCGCAUUAGCUAGUUGGUAAGGUAACGGCUUACCAAGGCGACGAUGCGUAGCCGACCUGAGAGGGUGAUCGGCCACACUGGAACUGAGACACGGUCCAGACUCCUACGGGAGGCAGCAGUAGGGAAUCUUCCGCAAUGGGCGAAAGCCUGACGGAGCAACGCCGCGUGAGUGAUGAAGGUCUUCGGAUCGUAAAACUCUGUUAUUAGGGAAGACCAAAUGUGUAAGUAACUAUGCACGUCUUGACGGUACCUAAUCAGAAAGCCACGGCUAACUACGUG